AAAAAUAUUUGAUUUUUUUAUGUUUUAAAUUAUUUUUUUUGUUUUUGAGUUAUUUUGAUUUAUUAUAAAAAAAAUAAAUUUUAAUAAAUAAAUAAACUUAAUAAUUUUUUAAAAAAUAUAUUUUAAAAAAUAAUCAUUAUCAAACCAAUAAACCAUUCAAGCAUUAUCAUAGCUAUUUCUUAUACAUCAAAAAGAGAAAUACAACGAAAAAGAAAAGAAUUAAAAGAUGAUCAAACAUCGUUGAAUUGAAGUGUCUGAUGCUGAGAUCUACUACAUCGUUAAAAGAAAUAUCAUAGCUGUUGAAAAAAUAAAGUGAUUAAGCAAAAUAAGAGGUAACGUAUCUAAGUGAUCAGAUAGGGUAGGAGGGAGGGUAUAAUGAGUAAGGCAGAAGAGUGAAGGCUAGGUAGUGGAUUGAACAGCAUGUCCAUGAACUGCCAAGAGAUUAUGGAGUCCAAGGAAACAACCGAGGAUAAAGAAACUAGGAGGGAGCAACAAGAUAACAUGAAAAACAAUUUGAUGGAGCAAACUAAAAUACCUCAAGUGAGAGCAAUUGUUGAAAGACAGGAUCCCUCUUCUAAGGUGAUCUUUGCGUCUUUUUUAUUUGCAGCCGUUGAUGUUCUUGUUAUUCUUCCUAGACAUAGCUACUUUAUAAUACUUGUCGAUUUUUGAAAAUAUUUCUUAUCUAUGUACGGAGCAACAUAUCUACUAGACAUCCUAAGAGGCGGCAAUGACCAUCCUAUAUAUUUUUCAAGCCAAGCUCACUCAAAUUAUGUUACUGUCUCAGUUUUUUUGAGCUCUGCAGUCUUUCACCAUUCUUGGUGGUGAUAACAGUACUGGAAGCUGCAGUGGUCUGUGAACGUUGCUUUACUUUGUUCUUGUAAUAAUCGAACUCCCUGUUACUGUCAUAAUUUGUGACAGGUGGCGGUAACGUGGUGUGUGUGUGUGUGUGUGUAUAUAUAAUAUGUUUGAUUUUUCUCAGAGUUGAUCUCUUUAUUCAAUGGACAAUGAUCUUGGAAUUUCUUAAUUAAAAUCGAGGUGCAGGAAGUAGAUGACCUGACGAUUAGACAAUGAUCUUGGAAGAUUGUUUAUCCUUUUAUAGACAAAAACACCAAGAAGAAGGUAAAGAGUGUGCAUUCAUCUUGUAUUCCUUUGACCAAAAACUGAUCAUAUGCAUGCAAUCAGUUGAAUAAUUUAUCUGUGUGUGGAUUGCUAAUGUAUUGAAGUCCUGCAUCUCUUCACAGAUAGUAUUUGUGGAUAACAGGAAGCUGAAAUCAACUCUCCUUGAAGAAAUUGAUGAGAGCCAGAUCCCUGACAUUUACGGGGGGAAACUUUCAUUAAUUCCUAUCCAUCAAAGCACGUGAUGCAGCCAGCAAGCAACUGCAGGGAAACAUGAUUGGAUACCAAAGUACCAUUACUAUAAUUAAUUUAAAGUCAAUGUGGACCUCUUAGUCUUAGUGUUAGUUGGCAGGUCUUGCCACAUUAUUGUUGUUGGUGCCUUGUGGCUACCUUCAAGUUUCCACUUUAAAAUAGCUAGAGCUAAAUGCAUGGUUUUCAAGUUUUCUGGCUUUGUUUUAAUUAAUUUAGAUUUCUCAUUGUCGGCAUUAUUUUUGUGUUUUUGUUUGGUUGUGUUAACCUUGAAAUUAGAUAAAAAAUUAACUCACAAUGAUUUUCUUUUUAUUUUUUUAUUUUUAUAAACACUCAUUAAAAAGACCUACUUGUCCUUAAGUUUAUAUUCUUAAGCCUUAAGUCAUUGAACAACUAAUUUAUUUUUUGUUAUUAUGUUGGGCUAUAGACAGUUUGGUAUUUUAAAAAAAUGAAAAAAUUUGUUUACAUUUGCUGAGCAUGCGUUAACACAUCAACUGCUUUGUUGUCUUUAAAUGACACUUGUAAUUGAUUGUAAUGACCAAAAAAGCUAUUUAUUUCGGAUGACAUCAAUUUCAUCUCAUUGUUUUUUCUAUAAAAAUAUGAUGUGUAUACCGAGAAGAACUCUGGUUUGGUGCCAAUGGCCAUUUGUUUCUCUUUUUUCUUUUCUUUUCCUUGGUGUUUGCUCUCUGCCCCUUGAUUUUUCAAAUUAGCCCUUAAACUUCUCCUUUUUUAUUAUUUAGUCUUUGUUCUUUUGAUUUUUCUAAGUAUUCCAUUAAAUUAGAUUUUUAUUUUGAUUUCAUCCUCAUUCAGUUUUUUGCUUUGUCAAAUUUAAUCUUUAUUUUUUUAAUUUCUAUUUUUUUAAUGUGAGAUAAUUUUUAGAAUUUUAUUUUUUUUAUUCCACCCCCAUUAAUAUUUUUUUAUUAUUAAAUUCCAUCCUCAUUCUUUUGAUUAUGUUUUUUCUUUCUUUGUAAAAUUUUCUAAUUUGAUUUUUUUUAAAAAAAUUUAUUCUUCAACAUGUAAUUGAUUUAGAUAUGAUCUUCUUGGUUAAACUCAUGUCUAGGAUUUCACGGUUGCAAACUUUGAAAAUUAAUAUAGUUUCACGAGGGUUCCCGAGGAUUGCAUUGUUUUUUUUAAUCAUUUUUUUAAGUUGAUGUUUUUUAAUUUUUCAUCCUUUAUUAUUUAUUUAAUUAGAGAUUGAACUUUAUAUUUUUUCCUACUUUUUAUGACCUUUGUUUUAUCUAUUGUUUUUUUUAUUUAAUUAGGUUAUUUCGAGCUUUUUUUUUUUUUUUUCUUUUUAUUUUUUAAAAAAAUAGAAUUGAUUGAUUGAAUAUAGUUGCAUGCUCACUUCAUUUUGUUUUGUUUGGUUUACUUUUCCAAGACGUUGCUUUAGCAGCCCAAACAACUUCUUUUUGAAGUUGACAUUGUCCAUACUAUUGCAAUUAGGUUUAAACCGUUUCGGCAAACUCUUUUUAUAAUGGACAAUGUCCAUAAUGGGGAGACAGUGAGUCUCUAAUGAUUAUUUUUUAUUCUUCUCUUUUCUGGUAUGAUAGCAGUGAUUCAUUUGUUUUAUUUAAUUGUUGUCAAAUAUCUUUUUUAGAAUAGUCUAUUAUCAUGGCCUAUAGUUUAAAUCAAAUUAUUAAACUACCCAAUCUUAUUAAAUCUAGUCAUCAAGUAAAUGAAUUAAAUAUUGGAUUUUUCUUGUUAUUUUAAAAAUAUUUUCAACAUUUGAGUAUCUUUUUUAUAAGCUUAGUUUUUUUUGAUUAGCUUGUGAUAUAGCACAAAUCACCGAUCUAAUAUUCCCUGACAAUAAAUUCAAAUUAAAAUUUGGUGUCUUGGCUAUUGAAAGUUAAAGACAUAUAGUUGGACAGGAAAUGUUAAAGGGAUUGUCAAGCUUUGGAACUAGGAGUAUGCUAAGAUGCUAUCACAAAUAUCCAACUUCCAAGGAUUGAUUCACCUUGUGGGCUGUCUUUUCUUUAUUCUUUUAGUUAUUUUCUUAUUUUUAUUUUUUUUAAUUCUUUUGGAAUUUAUCUAUUAAAUCAACUGGAUUAACUUUGGAUUGAUUUUGUACAACUCGGAACGAGUUGUCUAAAUACUAUAUUGAUACGCCCUCUCUCCUUCGAAUCCUUAUACCGAUACUUAGCCCCUUCAAUUUCUCUUGCUAGUGCCACUGCCAUAUUUCGGCACUGUACUGUAUAUUAUCUUCUGCAAGCCCAGCUUGAUCUAGAAGAUCGACCAUGGAUCCAUAACGAUUCCAUAAUUGAGGAUCGAUUUCUCAUUAAAUCAAAGUAUUUGUGCCCUUCUGUGACCGCACCACAAUGGCUACACGCUGUUAAAACUCCAAGAAAGGUUAUAGAAUCAGGCAAAACAUUUUCUACUGCCAUCUUCGUGAAGACUUUGAUUGUAUCUCUAGCAAGCUCAUGAACUGCUAAACCAUUGAUCAUCCAAUUCCAAAUACAAACAUUGCCGCGUUGGACACCAUCAAAAAUCUCCUUCAUAGUCUGAAUUUUACUGCACUUCGAAUCAUUGUCUAUCAAUGCUAAACUCAAAAGAAAAAACUUGACUCACUUCUUUUCUCGAUCAACAAUUCAUAUGCACCCUCUGAGCAUGAUUAAGGUCUCCGAGUCUUGCACGCCAUUUAUAACCACAUGCAAGUGUACAUUUAUCUGGUUCAACAUUCGAUCUAAUCAUAGCUCAAAAAAGUCUCAAUGCCUCCUCAUAUCCUCCGAUAAACUUAAUUUUGAAACAUUAACCCUAGAUUUUUUUAAAGGAAGAGUAACUGUAAAUCUUAAGUUCUGCUUGGUUGAUGAGGAAAUGAAGGAAAAUCAAAUUUGAAGCUUCGAAAAAGUCUGAACUGUUCCUGUCCAAAAAUGUGUUUUGAUGAUGCUCUAGAAAAGGAAAAUGAGAGGCUUGAAGUGCAACGAUUGCAAGCUAAUUUGGACGCCAGAUCAAUGCAAAGGUGUUCAUGUAGCAGAAGCUGCAGUUGCAAAUUAUCUUCAUAAGUUCUUAGAAACUGGAGCCUGGGCGUUUAGAUGCCACCGAAAAAAAUCUUAGAGGUUAGAUUUUUGUCAACUCAUGUGUAAGGAGUUCAAACUGACCGGUACAAUUUGGUUCUAUAUUUUUAAAAAUUGAAUAAAUCUAAUUAUUUAAUCUUUUAAUAAAAUUUGAUUUCAUGUAUAGUGAGUUUUUAGUCUACACAUAACGAGUUUAAUUUUAAAACCAAUCCUGUUUCAGCUAAAUAUACUAGAAAUCCUUUUUUAUUGGGAUGUCGAUCAACAACAUAUUUUGAAUGCUAAAAGAUGUAUCAUUUUUUUUCCUUCUUCAUUUCAGUUGAUCAUCAUUGUUAUAUGUUCUUUCCAUUAUCUUUACCUUGAAAAGUUUGGAGCAGGUGGUUCCCUUAUCUUGUAUGAUGGAUGAAUUGUAGUUCAAUUUUGAUGUGGCUGUUCUUUUUCAUUUUUAAUACCUGCUGCUGAGACACUUGCAUGGGAAAAGAACUUGAAAUGCCAUUAAUGAUUUAUGGAGGUUAAGAGGAUGAACCUCAAAAUCAUAUUAUAAUGAACAAAAAUCUUUUUUGUGUUUUACUUGAACUUUGAAAUUGAACCAAAAUACAAAACUUGUAUUUGUGUGCAUGUAUAACUCUGGCCAUGUACACAUUUCACUUCACUUUUUUUCUACGGCAACUAGUCUUUUAUUAUUGUGUUUGUAAGGCUUUCACUCUUUUAGGCAAUUUUUUUAUGAAUGCGUUGGGCAAAGAAAAAGUCAAAAGUGGAGAAAGACUGAUGCUUUGAAUAGCUUAAUACGGAUGAAACGAAGUAGGCACCUGAGGUAAUAAUUUUGUAGUUUCUUAUGUACUGAUAAUAUAAGGUCUAGUCACUUUGUAGUUGUCUACAUGAUUGUUUGGUUUAAUUAUUGAAAUAGGUUAUAUUCAGGGCACAACAGUCUCACAUCUCUUUUUCAUGUUGGGUAUUCUUUUUUUUUUUUUAGAUUAACAUGGGUGUUCGGGUCAGCUUACGUGCACCUCAACAAGACCACAUCAAGCCUCCACAAUGAAAAGGUUUGUAAUUCGCCGUUCUCUUUUGAAUAUCUCUUAUUGUCGUUGAUUAGCAUCUCACGAUUCUUUGAUAAGGCAUAAAGAAAUCAUUUUGGUAGCAACCACCAAACCAAUAGAACAAGGAAACUCUGCAGCUGGUCUAUAAGGUAAGUAGAUUCAUUACCAGCCGACUCCGGACCGUCAGAAACAUGACACCUCGGUUCAGCCAAGCAUUCAGGUUUUCCCUAAUUUCCUGUAUAUUUUCUUUGAGGCAUAUCGUAUAUUUUCGGUGUACUCGUCAAAUUUUAUGUUCAAGUAACAACCCACGUAGUGGUUUUUGUUUUAGAAUUUUGAAAAUUUUGUUAUUUGAGUCUAUUUAGUUUUUGUUUCAUAUGCAUAGAUUCAUUUAAUCGAGUACAAGAAGUGUUAUUGCCUUGUUAAUAAUCUUUAUUUUCUUCUUUCUUCAUUGUAAGACAGUAGACAAUAAUCAGCUGUCGGAAAUGUUUUUUCUUGCUUUAUAAUUUUAACUUUAAAGGUCAUAAAGUAGUGUUGUUACCUGGGUUUUUUUUUUUACUGUAUUAAUGCUCUUAAAUUGCUAUUUCAUUUUGUAUGAGCGUUGUCUAUUUUAGAGAAUAUUCAUGUAGAUUCAUCCCUUUCUCUCUAGUCUCCAUUACUACUAAGUAAAGCCUCACUUUAGUUUUCAUUUGUGCAAAAUCUAAGCUAAGAACAAAGAACAUGUUUUUGCAGAACAACUUCACAGAGAUACAAUUUGUAACAUGAUUUAUAUGUUGAUUGUUGUAACCCAUUUUUAGGUCCCCACAAAAAAAUAAAAUAAAUAGCCACAGAAGCUUAGAAAAUGGUCGGAAGAUUGGUUAAGGAAGUUAAAAAAUACAAAGAUUGGAUUUUUUACAGUAUUUUCUGGAAGGAUGAGAGCCCUGUUGAGAAGGAAAAUUUGAAUUUUGAGGAGAAAAGCCCAAAUUUGGAUGUUGAUGGACUUAAUUGGAUUUUAUUUGAAUUUAUAGAGGAUUUGAGUGCAAGAAAAAUUGAUUUUUUAAGUCAAUUUGGGCUUUAAUUAGAAGAAAUUUAAAUUCUGGGACCAAAAUAUUUUUUUUUGGAAUUUAUUAGGUCAAAUCAAGAGCUCAAUUGCAUAAAUAUUGAAGUUUAAUAGCCAAUUAGGGGCUCAAUUGUGAAAAUCCGAAACCAGGGACCAAUUUGGAAAACGCGGGUAAAUAUAGGGGGCUGUUUUGAAUUGAUCCAAGGGCGUAAUUGAAGAAAUUGGAAGUUUAUUGAUCAAUUGAGGGCUUAAUUGCAUAAAUCAGAGGCCAAGGACCAAGGUGAAAAACGCGGGGGCGAGGACCGAAAUUGGCAGGGACGCAAUUGAAAGCAACAAAAGAUAUUUAAGGGCUGAUUUGAAAUUUGGCGCUUUCCGGCGCCAUUUUUAAAUGAAACGGCGCGUUUUCCCCAAAACGACGUCGUUUCAUACACAAAAAGAAAAAAGAAAAAAAGAAGGACCGAACGGUGCCGUUUUGAACGACAUUGUUCCCCUUUCUUCUUCCCCCCGAACGUGCAGCAAGAAUAGGAAGAAAACUUGUUUAAUCAUCCGGUGCCGCUCUCUCCUCGCGUGCGCUGACAAUACCAUGUUGCCCUGCUCAACCCACGAUGUCCUGCUCCUCACGCUGCCCUGCUCAGUCCAUGCAGACCCGCUCCCUUCUCCCCCCUUCAAAGGGGGGAGACUUGAAACAGGAGGAGGAAGAAAGAAAACGAAAAAACCGAGACCAAGAGAGAGAGAUAAGAAAAAAAACCGGGGGGAAGAAAAAUGAACCAGAGAAAAAGGAGACUGAAACCGAAGGGAAGUUGAACGAGAGAAGAGAGAACGGAGAGAAAGGAAGGAAAGAAUACCGGGGGGGAAGUUUUUGAACAAAGAGAGAAAACGAAAUAGAGAGAGGAGGGAAGAAGUCAGGGAAGUUUGAAACAGAAGGGGGAGCACAAACGCACCAGUAUUGCCAAGGAUCGUCAUUUUUUAGCUCAUCAUUCUUCACACACGUUGCAACACCAUAGAAGAAAAGGAAGAACCCUGCACCUCGGUACAAACAGAGAAAACAGCGGCAAAACACAGCCCGCCACCGCCGAGAAGACCCACUGUCGCAUUGCCAUCAUUAUCACCGCCAGCUGCCACUGUCUUCCCAUCCGACAACAACACCGUGAGGAACAUAAUGAGGAAGCAGAAGCAGAGGAGAACAUAGUUGAAGAAAAAAAAACACAGAGAAGAAAGAAAAGCCGACGACCGUCCAAGCCACUCAUUAGGCCGCCGCCACCAGCAUCUCCACGAAGCAGCUGCAGAGAGGGAGAAGAACAUUGUUGACAGAGGGAGCAAAGGAAAUAAAAAGAAGAACAACGCCAAAACAGUAAGGAAGAGGAAGGAUGCACGCGUGAGCUUCCACCCAGGACACUGGCUCGGGCCAGUGGCCUGGUUAGGCCUGCUGGGUCAAGCCCAGCCAUAUGGGCCGAACGGGGCCCAACCUAAAAUUGUUUUUAUUUAAAAAAAAAAUUCUGCAAAAAAAUUGAUUUUGAAAAUAAGUGAUUUUCUGCAAUUCUGUUACUGCAUUUUGAUCAAUAUCGGUUUGUAUUUUUAUACUGUAAAGAUACAGAUCCGGUAUUAAAAUACCCGGUUUUCGUAAAAAUAUCAAAGAUUUUCAGAAUAAAAAAUGUUUUUGCUUUCAAAAAAAAAUUCUAAAAAAUCCCUAAAAAUGUUGUUGAUUUUUUUGCAUAUUUUUAUUAAUAUUGGGUUGUAUUUUUAUACCGUAAGGAUACAAGCUCAGUAUUUAAAUACCCGAUUUUCGUCAAAGCAUAUAAAAAAAAAAUAUUUUCAAAAAAAUUGUUUUGUUUUAAAAUACGGCUUAGUCUCUCCAAUAUAUAUAUAUAAAUAUUAUAACAUCCUAUUUUCACACAACAAAGGAAAUUUUCAAAACAAUAUAUGUAUUAGCACGCAUUUUGGCUUUAAUAACCAGUUUAUUCAAGCCAUGAGAACUAGGCCAAUAUUUCAAAAAUUCAAAAAAAUCUUUUUGUUUCCUUUUUAGUAUUUGGGAUUACGAAUUUAUACGUAAAACGUAUUCCUAAAUAUUAUUAAUAAAGUUUUGUUAUAGACGUUAGAACGGUUAGGAUUUUACCCGAUAAGAUAAAAGACCUUCUUACCGAGGAGGAUUUUUCUUGAACCAUAGACAGACCAACGACUAGAAGUACAAUAACACCUUAGUUUUUUUUACCAGACAAUAAAACAAUGCAGCUUACCUUAGGUAGGGCGUAUUUGGGGUGCUAAUACCUUCCCUUUACGCAACCAGUCCCCGUACCCAAUCUCUAAGACCAGUUAGGGUUCCUAGUGACCAAAAUACUAGGUGGUGACUCCCAUUCCAUUUUCUACCAAUAAAAUACAAUAUUUUCUUGUAUCCCCAUAGAUAUAGAUGUUCGCUUUGUAGAUUUAAGAAAAAUGGAACAACUAUAUAAUUUUCGCCGCGACGCCGCACACGUGCGACAGAAUGGCGACUCCACUGGGGACCUUGUAGACUAAGCUUUGUUUUUGUCUGAUUUGUUUGUAUUUUCAUGUGUUUAUUGUUAAUAUGCCUUUCCAUUUAUUUGCAUAUUUGUUUUUUAUUUUACGCGUAUUAUUUAUGCAUUGUAUAAAAUUGUCUCAUGCAUCACUUGCUUUUAUGUUGAGAAGCACACACAAGCUUUAAGUUAAGUGGGGAAUUACCGAUUUACCCUAAGACUAUUGGUCAGGGUUUAAAUGCGUGAAAUACCCAACUCAUAUCUGAGUGCCUGCUUGGUAAUGGUGGGCAUACGUGUCUUAACUGUUCCUUGCAACGCCCCCAUACUAUCUUUACAAAGAACGUCACUGGGCAGAUAUGAGACCCUUCAAGACCAGAUGGAAAAACUACCCACUCUCACUUAAUAAAUAGAGCUUGUCCUUAGGUUAUGUAUCUUUGUUUGCAAUGUUAUACUUGUUGUAACCCAUUUUCGGGUCCCCAUGAAAAAAUAAGAUAAAUAGCCAAAAGAAGUUAGAAAAAAUAACAGGAGGCAGAAACGCUCAGAAAACAGUCAGAAAAUUGGUCAAGAAAUUUAAAAAUACAAGGAUUGAAUUUUUGACGGUAUAUUCUUGAAGGAUAAAAGCCCUAUUGAGAAGGAAAAUUUGAAUUUUGAGGAGAAAAGCCCAAAUUUGGAUAUUUAUGGACUUAAUUGGAUUUUUAUUUGAAUUUAUAGAAGAUUUGAUUGCAAGAAAAAUUGAUUUUUAAAUCAAUUUGGGCUUUAAUUAGAAGAAAUUUAAGUUCUGGGCCAAUAUAUAUUUUUUAGGAAUUUUUUUAGGCCAAAUCAGGGGUUUAAUUGAAUAAAUAUUGAAGUUUAAUGGCCAAUUAGGGGUUUAAUUGUGAAAAACCGAAACCAGGGACCAAUUUGGAAAAACCGGGUAAAUAGAGGGGGCUGUUUUGCUUUGGAUCAGGGGCCUAAUUGAAGAAAUUUGAAGUUUAUUGAUCAAUUGAGGGCUUAAUUGCAUAAAUCAGAGGCCAAGGACCAAAGUGAAAAACGCGGCCAACAAGAGGGACGGGGACCGAAUUGGAAGGGAUGCAAUUGAAAUGAAUUAAAUAUGAUUGAGGGCUGAUUUGAAGUUUGGCGUGUGUUGGCGCUCUGUUUUAAUGAAACGACGCGUUUUGUCCAAAACGACACCGUUUCAUGUUUAAAAAAAAAAAAAAGAAGAGGCAUGGUUCCUCUUCUUCUUCCCCCCGAACCUGCAACAGAAGGAAGGAAACUUUGUUUUUGUUUUUGAAAAUCCUUCCCGCCUCUCUCUCCUCGCCCCCACCGAAGCCCCACAAGACCACCGAACGGGUCACUGGCCGACCAGCUGUUGCGUGAUUGAAGGCGCACUGUUAAAAGGCACACUGCUCCUUUUUUUCUCGAGAGAGACCGAAGGAGAGAGAGGGAGACCGGAGGAUAGGAAAAAAAAACGGACAGAGAGGGGAAUUUUUUUUGGACGAGAGAGGGCUUUUGGAAACUGAAAGGAGAGGGAAGUUUGAAACGAUGAAAGAUACUGUGAGAGUAUAGAAAAGAGAGAAACCAAAACAGAGGACGGGAGGUGAAGUUUUUGAGCCGAGACAGAGGAGAGAGCCAAAAACAGAAGAGAAGGAGCUGCUGUAGAGGAACAGUUGCUGUCACCGUGCUCCCCAGCCACCGACCACCAUCCAGGUCGCCACCACCAGCAUCUCCACGAAGCUGCUGCAGGGAUAGGAGAGUUUGGUUGACAGAAGGAGCAAAGGCAACCAAAGAGAAGAAGACAAGGAAGCUUGAAACAGAAGCAGAGAAGAACACAGAAGCAGCAGGGAAGAGGAAGAGCCAACCUUCAGUCAGCAACCGCCAGCAAACCAGCCACCAGCACCACCGUCAGCUCCUCUACCCAAGCUCAUCGUCGCAGGUAACUCUUCCCCUUAUCCCGUAUUCGUGUUCUUGCAUGCAGAACGUGCACUGUGCACGUUCUGCAAGUAAAAAAUUAAUUAGCUGGUUACUGUGUGCACAGUAACCAGCUAAUUAAUUCCCCGGUUACUAUGCAUGUCUAAUUAAUUAACAGGUUACUGUGCAGGUGCACAGUAACCACCUAAUUAAUUAACUGGUUACUGUGCAGGUGCACAGUAACCAGUCAAUGUUCAUUUCGGGCUGGAAUAUCAGCCCAGCCCAGGUGGCUGGACUGUAGAAAGUAGGCUUGUUUUAUUUCGGGCCUAUUUUGGCCUAGUCCCCUUUUGGGCCGGGUUCGGUCUAGUAAAAAAUUUAAAUCAUAAAAAAUAAAAAAAUUUCAAAAAUUAUUUCAAGGAAUUUGUGAUUUUUCUAUAAUUUUAUUACUGUAUUUUGGUCAAUAUCGAUUUGUAUUUUUAUACUGUGGAGAUACAAAUUCGGUAUUAAAAUACCCGGUUUUCGUCAAAGAUAUUUAUUAAAAAAAAAUAUUUUUGUUUUGAUGCAUACGGCCAAUAAUCUAACAUGUUUUGAAUGUUCUUUUUAUAUAAAAAAAAAUAUUGGAAGUUUUGAAAUUGUGUUUUCGCAUAGAUUUCUUAAACACAAAUUAUUUUCUUGCAUUUCUGGAUUUUACAACAUGUUUGUAAAACUCCAAAGGGUAUUGGCCAAUAUUCCAAAAACUAUAAAAAUCUUAUUUUUGGGGAGGAAAUUCAUUUAUUAUUUACCGUUAAUGUUUGGAUAAAGAAAUCCUUAAAAGGAUGAAUAUCCAAAAUAUUAUUGGGAGUAAUAAAUCCGCACACAUUCUUGAAAGAAGCCUUGAUUAUAAUCGAGGACAUUUCAAAAUUUUAAUUUUUUUUUAUUUCACGAUUUACGAGUCGCAAACUCUUGAAAUACUAAGGGAAAAAUGAGCUUUCAAAGCACAUGGAAUCUCCUUAGAUUUCUAUACAAAAUCAAUUGACGAGACUAGAAAACACCAACACCAUAGAUUAUAAGAGCAAACCAAACACCAAGCAGCUUACCUUAGGUAGGGCGUAUUAGGGGUGCUAAUACCUUCCUUUUACGCAACUAGUCCCUUGCCUUAGAAUCUCUGAAAGACCAGUUAGGGUUUCUAGUAACCCAAAAUACUAGGUGGCGACUCUAAAGAACCAAAUCAGUAAAACAAAACGAAAGUCGCCAGUCGAAUGUCGCAAAACAAAUUUUUUGUUAUUUUUUUUAGGGUGCGACAGAAUGGCGACUCCACUGGGACCCUUGGACUAUGCUUGGUAAUUAUUUUUUUACGCUAUGUGUUGUUGUUUUUCUUUUUUUUACUAUGAAUGGUUUGCUUUGUUUAAAAGCUUUAGCAUACAUCUUUACAUUCUAUCAUACAUGGCAUAGUCAUGCAUCACUUUAUUAUUAUUAUUAUUAUGUUUUGGAGGGCACACACAUGUAACUUUAAAAUUAAGUGGGGGACUAGCAGCUUGCCUUAUGACUUGAGUCAAGGUUUAAGUUUGUGUAAACCCCAACUCUUUGCUGAGUGUUUAGACUGAUUGUGAUUGGUACACGUACCAUCCCACUAUCUGCUAGACCUCCAUAUCGCCUUUACGAAGGUGGUCACUGGAACAGCAAGAGACCCUCUUUUAGAGACCCAGUAGUAAACCUACCCAAUGUCUCACAUAAAGGAACUAGAGCAUAUCCUUAGGAUGUAUGCUCCAUAAUAUCUUUUUGCAUCCAAAGCAUCUUGAAUCUCAAGACCUUUAUUCAAAAGCUAGCCAAGGGAGAGAUGUUCUAGAAUUGGGAGACCCAAGAAGCUCCAUUGGUGUUCAAAAUUUAAUCAACAAUGCUUGUUUGAUCAUGAUAUUGUGUUCUUUUCCUUUUUCAACUUUUUAAAUCGAGGUUCCAAAUGCCUUUUCAAAAGUUCAUCUGGUUGUUUUUACACAUCAUUUUUCUUUUCAAAACGAAUCUUCCAUAACUACACCUGCACUUUACACUGAGAAUGAAUGGCCGAACUUUAAAGUUGUAGAAGAGGAAGAAUGGUAGGAAAAUAACAUUAGGGGAUUCACAAAAACGAACAACAUGAACAAGCUUGGAAACCCACUACAAGGUCAUGCCGUUUGGGUUAAAGAACGUUGGGGGCACCUACCAAAGGGCUAUGUUGACUCUAUUUCACGACAUGAUGCAUAAAGAGAUUAAAGUAUACGUGGAUGACAUGACCUAGAGAGGGAGAGAAUCAUGUCCAAAUAUUGAAGGAAUUAGUUGAAAGACUAAGAAAGUACAAGUUGAGGUUUAACCAUGCAAGGUGUUCAUUCGAGGUGAAAUAUAGGAAGUUCUUGGGAAGGUUAUUCAACCUAUACCAACUCCCAAGACUAAGAAAGAUGUAAGGAGGUUCUUGGGAAGGUUGAAUUACAUUACUCAAUUUAUAUCCCAAUUAACCACGACUUAUGACCUCAUCUUCAAUUGUUAAGGAAGAAGAAUAUUGGAAUUUGGAAUAAGAAUGCGAAGAAGCUUUCAUGAAAAUCAUGGAAUUUGGAAUAAGAAUGUGAAGAAGCUUUCACGAAAAUCAAGCAAUACCUACUGAAUCCACCCCUAUCUAUCGAGUUGAAUUGAAAAAUGGCAAGUUCUACUAGCUGAGUACAACAUAGUAUAUAUGAGAAGGAAAGCCAUGUUGUGAAAGUUUAUGGGUUGUUAAAAUUUAAUUUUUCGGAUAAAGAUAUGUUUUUAGUCGAGGAAGGGAAAUCAUAUUGUUAGAUUAUGUACUUUGAGGGUGUUGUGGUAAUAGAGUGGGGGGCAGUGCUAAUCUUUCCUAAUAAGAAACAGUAUUCGAUUUUCGUUAAGUCGCAAUUUGGGUACACUAACAACACAACUGAGUUCGAAGCUUGCAUUCUCGAGGUUGCAUUAGAGCUAAACAUCAGAAAGAUAGAUGUGUAUUGGAGACUCGAUUUUGAUUAUUUGUCAAGUGAAAGGAAAAGGGCAAACCAAGGACGAGAAGUUGAGACCUUGCCAAGAAUACUUGUCUAAAUGGGCUAGAGAAUUUGAGGAAAUAAAGUUCACCCAUCUAGGAAGGGAAGGAAACCAUUUUGAUGUUUUGGUCACGCCAGCUUCUACGGCUAGAAUAGACUUUGGGCACAAGGUACAACCAAUACACAUUGAUAUAAGAAAUAACUUAGCUCAUUAUUGCUCAGUUUGAAAGAGAAAUAGAUGGAAACCCUUGGCACUAUGAUAUCAAGAAUUUCAUCCAAAACCAGACAUAUCCCAUGGGGGCAUCCAAAAAUCAACAAGAAGACGUUGAGGAGGUUGGCAAUGGAUUUCUAUCUUGAUGGGGAAACUUUGUAUAAGAAAUCAUCUGACGAAACUUUGUUGAGAUGUUUCGAUGACAAAAAAAAAAAUUUAUGGAAAGAUAUUUAUCGAUAUGGUCCACUAGAAAAAUUAAUAACCCAGAAUUUCAACGGCAAGUUAUAAUGGAGCUCUGCACUAAAUGGAAAAUCAAGCAUUCCAAUUCUUCGCCAUAUAGACCAAAGAUGAAUGGUGCGGUAGAAGCUGCUAACAAGAAUGUCAAAAAGAUUAUUCAGAAGAUGGUAGUCACCUAUAAGGAUUGGCAUGAGAUGUUGUCAUUUGCCCUUCAUGCAUAUCGCACCGCAAUUCGAACCUUAAUAGGAGCCACCUCGUAAAUGUUGGUAUAUGGAAUGGAGGCGGUGAUGCUUUUAAAAGUGGAAAUCCCCUCAUUAAGAGUAUUGAUAGACUUUGAGCUAGAAGAGUUAGAAUGGGAGAAGGUUAAAUGUGAACAGUUGAAUCUGAUAAGUGAAAAGAGGAUAGCCGCAAUCUGUCACCAUCAACUUUAUCAAAGAAGGAUGGCCAAAUCAUACAACAAGAGGAUUCGACCUUGAGGAUUCCACGAAGGACAUCUUAUAUUGAAGAAAAUGUUGUCUUUUACUAGGAGAAGAUCAGAGUAAAUGGGCGCCUAACUAUGAGGGGCCUUAAGUGGUGAAGAAAGCAUUCUCAGGAGGAGCUUUGUUACUGUCAAGAAUGGAUGGAGAAGAUCUAGUUAGGCCCGUGAAUUCUGACUCUGUAAGGAAAUACUACGCUUGAUGUAUUUCAUAAUUUCUCAGUCAAUAAAAUAAAAUUCGGCCAUGAAUUCUCUUUGUAAAGAACUUUUUUUUUUACGCAUGACUAAGAAGAUGACUCCAUCAAUUGGAGAAAAACAAAUCAAAUCUGUUUGACAUAUUUUUUUGCACACCACACUAGGGGGCAAGAAGUGCACGAAAUGCAUAUAGAGGUCCAUAGUAAACCAAAACCCAAAGGGGUAUCAUAAUAAAACCUUCUAAAAAAGCAUCUUUUAUGAAAAUUGCUAAUUGCAUUGAAAGUUUUAGUUUUCAUGAACAAAACCAAAUCUUUUGAGUUUUCCUUUUGAAAUAAUAAUAAAGCACAAUACUCAAUGGAGCAAGAAAGGGCCCCAUAAGGAACCAGAGAUCUCUUCACUAAGAGGAUAUGAAGUAUAUUUCGGUUCAUGAGAAAAGGUGGAAACAAGAGCUUGAAGAAGUUUACAACGAAAGGGGGACCUAUUUUUCUCAGGUAAGUAUACAUGCAUAUUGAUCAUAAUGCAUUGCUUUCAACAUUUGUCGUAUCGGUGUUUCAUCAUCAUCUUUUGGGUAGUGCGUUUUCUAACCCUACCUCAUUUUGAGUGCGCCUUUGAGCCCUCACUUCUUGGUAGUGCGUUUUCUAACCCUACCUCUUUUCGAGUGCGCCGUUGAGCCCUCACUUCUUGGGUAGUGCGUUUUCUAACCCUACCUCAUUUUGAGUGCGCCUUUGAGCCCUCACUUCUUGGGUAGUGCGUUUUCUAACCCUACCUCUUUUCGAGUGCGCCGUUGAGCCCUCACUUCUCGGGUAGUGCGUUUUUUUUAACCCUACCUCAUUUCGAGUGCGCCUUUGAGCCCUCACUUCUUGGGUAGUGCGUUUUCUAACCCUACCUCUUUUCGAGUGCGCCGUUGAGCCCUCACUUCUCGGGUAGUGCGUUUUUUUUUAACCCUACCUCAUUUCGAGUGCGCCUUUGAGCCCUCACUUCUUGGGUAGUGCGUUUUCUAACCCUACCUCUUUUCGAGUGCGCCGUUGGAGCCCUCACCUCUCGGGUAGUGCAUUUUCUAACCUUACCUCAUUUCAAGGGCGCCUUUGAGCCCUCGCCAACAUUUUUCUGGGUAGGUCACCCAUUACAACGCGACCAAUUCUCCAUGUUUUUAUUUAGGUAGGUCACCCAUUACAAUCAGACCAUUCUUUCACCUGGGUAGGUCACCCAUUACAAUGAGACCGCUCUUUCCUUUUUCUUGGGUAGGUCACCCAUUAUAAUGAGACCAACAUUUUUUAUGGGUAGGUCACCCAUUACAACGCGACCACUUCUCCAUGUUUUUUUCCUUUUUCUUGGGUAGGUCACCCAUUACAAUGAGGCCAACAUUUUUUCUGGGUAGGUCACCCAUUACAACGCGACCACUUCUCCAUGUUUUUUUUUUUACUUGGGUAGGUCACCCAUUACAAUGAGACCAUUCUUCCAUUUGGGUAGGUCACCCAUUACAAUGAGACCACUCUUUCCUUUUUUCUUUGGGUAGGUCACCCAUUACAAUGUGUAACAACCCUAAUUUUUCUAUUAGUUUAUUCGUUAAUCUCUCCCUCUAUAAAGGGUAGAUGAAGCAAUUUUUUUUUUUUUUUUACUCGCCGAAAUUUCUAACGAAAUUUCAGCAGAGUCUCCUCUAUACGAGGAGAUCCCAAGUUAUCGACAAUGUACCUACACACAUUUUGAAUCACAUCUCAUCCACAAUCACAUCCAUGUUUAGCACAAUUAACUACAUAACUCAUUCUAGAUUAUGCUCAGGACCAUAUUCAUUCCCAAACUCCACCUUACAUCACAUACACAAGUUAAUAAUUAAAAGAGCCAAUUUCAACACGAAAUUUCAUAUAAAUAUAUAUAUACACAACAUAGUUUAAUAUUCUAACAUAGUCUAGUACAUUCUAAUAUCCCAAGCAUAGAUUGAUACAUUUAAUAUUUCAGAAACAAAAUAUUACGAAUAGAGUAUUCCAUAUAGGCUACAUGCUUACUGCAUGACAAAAUUACACCACAAAUCCCUAAGUUCCUAACUUAUACGGAAAGGGAUCAAAGAACUUUAAAUCUAUUCCUGACGUGAAUGGGAGGGACCUGCAAAAAUAUAAAUUUUCCAUAUAAUUAAAAAGAAAUGAUUAAAAUACAAGCAAUUUACAGAAUAAAAUUAAACAGCAUAUAUAUCUACUUAAAUCAUAUGAGAUUCUGAAUACAACCACAAACCCCUUUUUAUGGUUAUAUAAGAAUUCUUUAUUCUUCUUCUCUCUUUUUUUUUUUUUUGUUAACUACUUCUCCCCCCCCCCAUCAGAAGGACUAUUGUUGACACCAAUGACCUCCAUUAGUGUCUUUAGUUGCCCGUCUUGGAACAACUAAUUAGUUUCAUGAAAAUGCCGACACAAAUGUAAACGUUUGUGUCAUUAACUAUCUUUAAAACUAAAAUAGUUAAUCAUUGUUCCAUAUUACCUUGGGAGGUUCUCAGGUAUGCCGAUGUCAAAAUUCUUGACAUCAUUAGCUUUCACCUCGGAAAGCAAAUCAAGUUUAUAAAUUUUGCCGAUAUCGACGUCACGUGCCGAUAUCAUUAACUAUUCCGAAACCGAAUAGUUAAUCAAUUUUAUAAAUUUUGCCGAUAUCGACAUCACGUGCCGAUAUCAUUAACUAUUCUGAAACCGAAUAGUUAAUCAAGUUUAUAAAUUUUGCCGAUAUCGACGUCGCGUGCCGAUAUCAUUAACUAUUCUGAAACCGAAUAGUUAAUCAAUUUUAUAAAUUUUGCCGAUAUCGACAUCACGUGCCGAUAUCAUUAACUAUUCUGAAACCGAAUAGUUAAUCAAGUUUAUAUUUUUCAUCAUUUAACCUUUCCUUUCCCCUUUUUUUUUUAUCAAUAAGCACCAAAUUUUUAUAGUUCAAAAGUUAGUUAAAAUAAUUAUUAACUAGAGGAGAUAUAGGUACCGAGUACCUACCUGUUGUGGAACACCCAUCAUUAUCCCAUAUUAAUCCACAUAUCACACGCAACAUCAACAUUCAAAAUAAUAUUCAUUUCUCUUUUACCAAAUCUUUUCUUUCUCAUCACAUACAUUCCUCACUAUUAUCCUUUAACUUUUCAGCUCAUUAGUAGUCCAAGUGGACAUCAUAAAUUCAAUUUUUUAUUACAGUUUAUUCUUUUUGAAGAUCAAGACACACUUUAUGAAAAGCAAGAUCACAAAUUCUACACUUGAUAUGGCUAAAUUUCUCCGUUUUAUCAACUUGGCCGAAUCUGCCAGCAGCGGUGGCAGCUCGACCUCUCCUUAGUUUUUUAUUUGUAUAUGGAGUUCUAGGACUCCAAAUUAGGCGAGGUCAGAUUCGUUGGAAAGCUAACACUCCUAGCUACACUUCUAUGAGGGGACCCUCCCUAAAUUUUGUAGUUUUCAGGUCCAAAAUCCCCCCAGGAAACAGGGCAACGAACCUGUCCUGUUUUGCUAAGGAAGAAGGUAUCUCCAUUUCAUCUUAAAUCCAUGCUUCCUCAUCAGUCACAGCCAUGCCUUCCCUUUAUUCAUGGCAUUCCCGUAUCCUUUUAUGUCCUCCUAAUGUCACUGGUAUCAAAUUAAUUAAUUAAACACAUCAUAAGUUCUCAUUCCCUCUCUGCUGUAUCCAGCAGAGAACGUGGCCAAGGGAACCGAGAGUUCCCUUCCUCUCUUUUAUGCACUCAUUUCUUCUUCUUCUUUAAGGCACUUAGAUUAAUCUAAUCCAUUUAACCUCACUCAUUUCUGCAUUUUCCCAACAUUUUAUGUUAAAGAAACCUAAUUCCCAAUUCAAGAAAGGCAUAAACUUCUAAUCAAAUUGAAGUUGAUUUCAUAAAAAUUGGAAUUAGAACUCCUUACUUGGAUGGAAUCUAAACUUUACUUCACAAAUUUUAGAAGAAUCUUAGCCUUCUUCUCCUUGUAUGUUGUCAGCUACUCUUCCCCCUCUUUUCUUCACCAAUUCUUCACUUUUCUUCUUGUUAAUUCUUCCACCCGAUUGUGUUCCUCCACUUUAUAAUUCCAAGGCUUAUUUGGGUUUACUAAUUUUAGGUGUUUACUCCAAGUUUUGAUGAAAGAAAAAUCUGAAAUUCUCCCCCCUCCAUAUUCUUAUUAUCAGCCGGCCAUGGAUGAGAGAAGGGAUGGGUAUUUAUAGUCCCAUCUCUUCUUAAUUCCAUUUUGGCCCCAUCUUUCACCCUUUUUUUUUUCAGUAUUAUUUUUUAUUAUUAUUAUUAUUAUUGCUUUAUUUUAUAUUGUAACAACAUUUGGAAUUAUUAUAAACCUCCCCCUCUUUGUAUACUUUUUUUUUUCUCGGGCUUCACACAAUGAGACCGCACUCCAUAUUUUUUCUAUUUGGGUAGGUCACCCAUCACAACGAGACCGCUUUUUCAUAUUCUUUCCACUUGGGUAGGUCGCCCAUCACAAUGAGACCAUCAUUUCUUUCUGGGUAGGUCACCCAUAAGAAUGAGACCAUUCUCCAUCUUUUUUUUUUACUUGGGUAGGUCACCCAUAAGAAUGAGGCCAUUCCUCCCCCUGGGUAGGUCACCCAAAGAAUGAGACCACUCUUCCUUUUUCCAUUUGGGUAGGUCACCCAUAAGAAUGAGACCAUUCUCCAUCUUUUUUUUUACCGGGUAGGUCACCCAUAAGAAUGAGGCCAUUCCUCCCCCUGGGUAGGUCACCUAAAGAAUGAGACCACUCUUCCUUUUUCCACUUGGGUAGGUCACCCAUAAGAAUGAGACUAAUCUCCAUUUUUUUUUUACCUGGGUAGGUCACCCAUAAUAAUGAGGCCAUUCUUCCCCCUGGGUAGGUCACCCAAAGAACGAGACCACUCUUUCCCUUUUCCACUCGGGCAGGUCACCCAUCAUAAUGAGACCACACACAUUUUUUUGUAUGGGUUAUGGAUAAAGGAAUCGACAGAUGGGAUUCCAAGUUAAAAGAGAUCACCAGAUGGGAUCUCGGAUUGGUUUUCCAUGUUGAUCAAACUAAACUAAUAAUUCAGAGGAUCGCUGGAUAAGGAUCUCGAGAUGACUAAGUGUUGAUCAUAGUUUUUGGGCUAAGGAGGAUUGUUAUAAAAGACAAAGUUUCAGAUCAAUUAAGCUUCGACCAGAUCAGUUUCGGGAGUUCCAUUUUGGGUUUAUCUUUAUAACACUUACUGCGCAAAACCCAUGCUCCGUAAGUAUUAUAAAGAGGGGGCAUCUGUUGUAACCCAUUUUCGGGUCCCCGUGAAAAAAUAAGAUAAAUAGCCAAAAGAGGUUAGAAAAAAUAACAGGAGGCAGAAACGCUCAGAAAACAGUCAGAAAAUUGGUCAAGAAAUUUAAAAAUACAAGGAUUGAAUUUUUGACGGUAUAUUCUUGAAGGAUAAAAGCCCUAUUGAGAAGGAAAAUUUGAAUUUUGAGGAGAAAAGCCCAAAUUUGGAUAUUUAUAUACUUAAUUGGAUUUUUAUUUGAAUUUAUAGAAGAUUUGAUUGCAAGAAAUUUUGAUUUUUAAGUCAAUUUGGGCUUUAAUUAGAAGAAAUUUAAGUUCUGGGCCAAAAUAUUUUUUUUUGGAAUUUAUUAGGUCAAAUCAGGAGCUCAAUUGCAUAAAUAUUGAAGUUUAAUAGCCAAUUAGGGGCUCAAUUGUGAAAAUCCGAAACCAGGAACCAAUUUGGAAAACGCGGGUAAAUAGAGGGGGCUGUUUUGAAUUGAUCCAGGGGCGUAAUUGAAGAAAUUGGAAGUUUAUUGAUCAAUUGAGGGCUUAAUUGUAUAAAUCAGAGGCCAAGGACCAAGGUGAAAAACGCGGCCAACUACGGGGGCGAGGACUGAAAUUGGCAGGGACGCAAUUGAAAGAAACAAAAGAUAAUUAAGGGCUGAUUUGAAAUUUGGCGCUUUCUGGCGCCAUUUUUAAAUGAAACGACGCGUUUUCCCCAAAACGACGCCGUUUCAUACAAAAAAAAAAAAAGGACCGAACGGUGACGUUUUGAACGGCACUGUUCCCCUUUCUUCUUCCCCCUGAACGUGCAGCAAGCAUGGGAAAAAAACUUGUUUAAUCAUCCGGUGCCGCUCUCUCCUCGCGUGCGCUGACAAUACCACGUUGCCCUGCUCAACCCACGAUGUCCUGCUCCUCACGAUGCCCUGCUCAGCCCAUGCAGCCCCGCUCCCUUUGCCCCCUAUAAAAGAAGGGGGGAGACUUGAAACAGGAGGAGGAAGAAAGAAAACGAAAGAACUAAGACCAAGAGAGAGAGAUAAGAAAAAAACCGGGGGGAAGAAAAACGAACCAGAGAAAAAGGAGACUGAAACCGAAGGGAAGUUGAACGAGAGAAGAGAGAACGGAGAGAAAGGAAGGAAAGAAUACCGGGGGGGAAGUUUUUGAACAAAGAGAGAAAACGAAAUAGAGAGAGGAGGGAAGAAGUCAGGGAAGUUUGAAACAGAAGGGGGAGCACAGACACACCAGUAUUGCCAAGGAUCGUCAUUUUUUAGCUCAUCAUUCUUCACACACGUUGCAACACCAUAGAAGAAAAGGAAGAAGCCUGCACCUCGGUACAAACAGAGAAAACAGCGGCAAAACACCGCCCGCCACCGCCGAGAAGACCCACUGUCGCAUUGCCAUCAUUAUCACCGCCAGCUGCCACUGUCUUCCCAUCCGACAACAACACCGUGAGGAACAGAAUGAGGAAGCAGAAGCAGAGGAGAACAUAGUUGAAGAAAAAAAAACACAGAGAAGAAAGAAAAGCCGACCACCAUCCAAGCCACUCAUUAGGCCGCCGCCACCAGCAUCUCCACGAAGCAGCUGUAGAGAGGGAAGAACAUUGUUGACAGAGGGAGCAAAGGAAAUAAAAAGAAGAACAGCGCCAAAACAGUAAGGAAGAGGAAGAGGAGCCGCAACAACGCCACCGCCAAACCAGCCACUGCCACUGUCAGAACCACCGUGAGCCCUCAUUGGCUUCCUCUCCACAGCCACCAGCAUCACUGUGAGUGUUCGGCGUCUCUGUGCAAGUGAUUUCCUUUGGCAUUUUCACUGUGCAAGUGAAUUAUAAUUCACUUGAACAGUGAAAUGCAAAUGUAUUGUUCAAGUGAAUUAUAAUUCACUUGAACAGUACCAUAUGUUACUAUGUGUGUCUUCUUUUACAUGUCACUGUGCGCGGUUUCGUUUUGCAUUUUUACUGUUCAUAGUGAAUUAUAAUUCACUUGAACAGUACCAUUUGUAUAUGGUAUUAAGGAUGCACGCGUGAGCUUCCACCCAGGACUGGCUCGGGCCAGUGACCUGGUUAGGCCUGCUGGGUCAAGCCCAGCCAUAUGGGCGAACGGGCCCAACCUAAAAUUUUUUUAUUUAAAAAAAAAUUCUGCAAAAAAAUUAUUUUGAAAAUAAGUGAUUUUUGCAAUUCUUUACUGCAUUUUGAUCAAUAUCGGUUUAUUUUUAUACUGUAAAGAUACAGAUCCGGUAUUAAAUACCCGGUUUUCGUAAAAAUAUCAAAGAUUUUCAGAAUAAAAAAUGUUUUUGCUUAAAAAAAAUCUAAAAAAUCUAAAAUGUUUUGAUUUUUUUGCAUAUUUAUUAAUAUUGGGUUGUAUUUUUAUACCGUAAGGAUACAAGCUCAGUAUUUAAAUACCAUUUUCGUCAAAGCAUAUAAAAAAAUAUAAUAUUUUCAAAAAAAUUGUUUUGUUUUAAAAUACGGCCAGUCUCUCCAAUAUAUAUAUAUAAAUAUUAUAUCCUAUUUCACACAACAAAGGAAAUUUUCAACAAUAUAUUUAUUAGCAGCAUUUUGGUUUAAUAACCAGUUUUAUUCAAGCCAUGAGAACUAGGCCAAUAUUUCAAAAAUUCAAAAAAAUCUUUUUGUUUCCUUUUAGUAUUUGGGAUUACGAAUUUAUACGUAAAACGUAUUCCUAAAUAUUAUUAAUAAAGUUUUGUUAUAGACGUUAGAACGGUUAGGAUUUUACCCGAUAAGAUAAAAGACCUUCUACCGAGGAGGAUUUUUUGAACCAUAGAUAGACCAACGACUAGAAGUACAAUAACACCUUAGUUUUUUUUUCAGACAAUAAAACAAUGCAGCUUACCUUAGGUAGGGCGAUUUGGGGUGCUAAUACCUUCCUUCGCAACCAAUCCCCGUACCCAAUCUCUAAACCAGUUAGGGUUCCUAGUGACCAAAAUACUAGGUGGUGACUCCCAUUCCAUUUUCUACCAAUAAAGACAAUAUUUUUUGUAUCCCCAUAGAUAUAGAUGUUCGCUUUGUAGAUUUAAGAAAAAUGGAACAACUAUAUAAUUUUCGUUGCGACGCCGCACACAUGCGACAUUGAUGAAGAGGGAAGACUUUAUUAAUACAUGCCUUCAGGUACUUUUUUGAUUCUCUAUAUAUCUUCUCUUAGGAAUGUGAGAGUGUCUGAUUUACUUGUCUCACAACUUUGUCUAUGUGGUUGUUAUGGUGUUUAAGGAGAGAGUAGAAAGAGAGAGUUUUCUAAGGCCAAAGAAUCGAAUGGAGGUUAAUCAUGUGCUCUGAUACCAUGUAAGGUUUUAAGACUAGUAAUGAAAACUAUAUCAUCUGCUUAUAGCAUUGGAGUUUCAUUACAUAGAAGAACUUUACAGCAGUAGAGAAUAAGGAAAUAGUUGUUACAGGCUAUACAAGGAAUUAUAUCUAUAUAUUGUAUAAUUAGAAUGAAUCAAUUCCUAAUAAAGAGUGGAUUCAACUGCCCUGGGAAAGAUUCCCUUCCUAAUCAGGAUAGGAUAGUGGAUCUCCAUAUAGGGGCAAAAGUGCUACCUUAUUAGUGCCAUUCGGUCGGAUAUCCCAAUCUUUGAGUUUGAGUCACUAGUGCCAGUCUUUGAUCAAGAAAGGUAGGCAGAUCGACUGUAUCCAUUCAAUUCAAGAUUAGCCAGUACUCUUUCCCUUAUCAAGAGCUUACCGGACUGAUUGUCUUCAAUGUCCGGAGUAGGAGUCUAUGUCUGAUCACUUACUUUCAGGAAUAGAGUUCAGAUUCUAGUCUUAGUAAUCUUAUGUUGUGAGAUAGGAGAUAGAGUUCACUUCCUGUCACUGUCCGGGAAGAGAGUUUGACUUCAGGGAAUGUCUUGAGAGUGAGUUCCGGAGUACUUUCCGGGACAUGUGAUCUUCUAUUCUGUUUUGAGAUAGGUUGUGAGAAUAGCUUCUCUUAGGAGAGUGUCUAGUCUUUAUUCAAUUUCCUGGCUUUCUUCCGCUGUUACAUCAUCGAAUCAUUAUGUUUUUAUUGUGGCUUUAAAGUUUGUGGGACUCGAACUGGUAAUUUUUGAAACAAACCACAAGAUUAAGAUCAUGUUGGGUAUUCUUGUUAAGAUACAUGGUUGUUUUACUGUUUUUUUGUUGCCACCAUCAUACCUAGUGAAGCUAGUUUCUUUUCAUAUUUAGCUGCAUAGUUUCAUGUUGGUCUCCUCCAUUUCUUAUUGUCUCUGCUUUGAGAGGGAAGAGUACGAGCAUGGAUUAUUGAGAGGGGUUAAUAUAGGAGGAAUGGUUUGCUUAAUUGCAGAAUCAAGUUUUUCUAUUGUUAAUGGAGAUUUUUAUUUACUGGUGUACAGCUCAAUUAUAAAAUCUCUCUCUAAAUUUUUUAAUAAUCACUAUUUUUAGUUUCUUGAAUGAUAGUUAUUAACUAGGAGAGUGAAGUGCCCGUAAGAUUAGCCCGGGGAUAAAUGAAGUCUGAAGAUUGGCUUUUUCAAGUAUCCAUCCAUAAGACCAUUGGGCUUAAUUCUUGAAGAGUUCAAAUGUAGUUAGUGUUUUUCUUUCAGUGUUGAUGAGUCAAUUGGAAAGUUGGUGCUGCAUUCUCCAAGUCAACAGAUCUUCAUACGAGGUAAGGCUAUUUCGAUGAUCAUGGCCAGCUUAUAUUCCCUUUAAUUUCAUAUAAUUGAUCCUGGCUGAUCUAUUUCCAUGUAUGUAUAUCCUUGGGUAAUUUAAUUCUUGUGAAGUAGCAAGAUUCUUGUUUCUCUCUUGGUUUCAUACACUCUACAUAAAAUGGAGGUAGGAUGGCAUUGAUGGAACUAGGAUAAUGCUAACUCGGAUGGGUUACUGUAGUCUAUGCUUUUUUGCUUCAACCAAGUCAAUUCGCGCAGUGUUGGAAGCUUUCAACAUGUAGCCUGGCAUGAAAUGGGGUAAGAGAUGGCCAUUUUGUUCUCUCAUUUCUUUAUUCUUUCUUUGCAAUAUUGCAUGGUUAUGUCAUGACUGGAUACUUCAUCGCUGGCAUGUUUUCUACAUUCUUUAGUUUUCACUUAAACUAAAUAUUAUCUCGUAAGUUUUCACUUCAAUCUGUUUUCCCUUCUCUCGUUUAAAAAAUCCCUAAAUGAAAUAACCUUAAUUCUCGACUCCCUCAAUCAUACAAUCGUUAUCGUACUUGAUUGAAAAUCACAAAAAAGUUUUCUUUUCUUUCCCAUCUAAAAAACGCAACUUGUUUUGGCAUCACACAAGAUCCUCUCUUCUUCUUGAAAUUUCUUGAAAUAUUGUCAGGAUUGACAGAGAGUGACCUUAUGGCAAAUGUAAAACCACUACCACAGUAAACAUUCAAGGAGGCUUCUUUAUUCUGAAUAUCAGGGCUUAGACUGGCUGUUUGAGGGAUAGUUUGAUCAUUUGUAUUCCCCAGGCCAAGUUGACCGCGUUCACCCCAACCCCAUUUCUUUAUUGCUCCAUCCACUGUGAACAAAAAUUUACAAUGUCAUCAACAAAAUGAAAUGACACAAAGGCUCACUAAAGAAAACGAAGAUGGGUAGCAAUUCAUAGUAAAUAAGCUUACCUGUCACUAAAGCAGAGUGCCAGUAUACUAUUGUGGUAGCAAUUGGAAGUAGUCGGAAAACAAUUUAGAGUUUGUAUAAUAUUGUGGUAGAAUUGUUUUCUAAAGUAAUUUUUUUUCCCCUCAAAGAGAGAGUUUGCUUUCCUUUUCUUGAACAGUUAAGCAUUGGGUUGGGCACAAAGCAACGAAGAGAUGCUAGAUAAUAAAGAAAGCAGUUUAUAAGGAUGAAGAAACUUUAAAUUAAUUGCAUUUUCUUCAAACUGAAUUUCUAGGAAUACGAUGUUUGCGCACUGAACUCUCCAGAGAUUUGAAUAUAUUUUAAAAAAUUACUUUGUAACAAAAUGAUAUUAAUGUCACAGCUAAUAAAUUGGAAAAGCAUAAGUGCUAGUUCCAUACUAGUUACAUGCCCCGCAUGAUGUCGCGGGUCAAUUAUUUUUUGCAUUUCAAAAAUAGCAAAGAUCUAAAAGUGUUAGGUUUUUUUGUAAAGUUAUACCAAAAAAUCUCAGUUUUGGUUGCAUCGCCUGAUCCAAGAGUAAUGUUUAUAAUAUUAAUAAGAACAUUAAACUUGGGUUAACCAUUAGCAUAAAAUUGUCUGGACUACAAUACCAGAUCCAAUAGCAUUGGACGUGGGUCUGGCUGCAAGGUCGUGUCAUAAAAGUAUGAUAAUUAAAUAGAUUAGUUAAAAAAAAACCAACAAGAAGAAAAAAAACUAAUGAAAAAAAAAGAAAAAACAAUAUGAAUUAAUUGGGUUACCCCUUCAAACCAGGUUAACCUGUCAUACCUUGAAUUCGCAUCAUGAAAGUUUGAUAAUUAAAAAAAAAAAAAACAAAUUAAUGGGUUAACCUAGAAUUAACUAGGCUAACUCGUCAAAUCCGGAAUCCGUGUAAUGAAAGUUUGAUAACUAAAUAGAAAAAAAUUUAAUAUUAACAAUUUAAAUUAAAUGAAAAAAAUUAAUUAAAAAAAAAACAAAAGGCAUCAGCCUUUUCACUGUGGACUGCACUAUGCAGUCCACAGUGAAAGGCAUUAAAAAAAAAACUAAAGGCAUCAGCCGAAAACUACUUAGAAAAAAAAUUUAAUAUUAAUAAACUAAAUUAAUGAAAUAAAAUUAAUUAAAAAGAAAAAAGAAAAGAAAAAAAAACCUCUAAUAAGAAAAAAAAAAUACUAAAUAGAAAGAAAUUUAACAUUAACAAGCUAUAUUAAAUGAAAAAAGUAAUUAAAAAAGAAAAAAAAGCAAAAAAAAAUUCAGGUUAACUCGUAAAAAGUUAACCCGUUAAACCCGGGAUCCGUGUCAUGAAUGUCUGGUAACUAAAUAAAAAAAAAGUGAACAUUAACAAACUAAACAAAACAAAAAAAUAAUUAAAAAGAAAAAAAACAUUAUAACUUUUUCCAAAAUUUAUUUUAUUUUAUUUUUCCAAAAUUAUCUUUGUUGAUUUUACUUUUUAAAUAUUGAGCUCAUUAAAAAAUUUUCUCACAUGGUUUGUUUUCCAGUUUCUUUUGUGUUUUCGUUUUUUGUAAUAUUUUUUUCUAAAAUUAUCUUCGUUGAUUUUUUUUUAAUAGAGUUGUUUAGAAUUUAAUUUUAUAAUAAAGCUUAAUCAUGUGGGAAAAGCACUGUAGUUUUCCUCACAAAACAUUAUUGAGAAUUACAAUUACAAGUCAUUACAAAUAAGGCUAAAUCAUGUGGGGAAGCACUGUAGCUUUCAUCACAAAACACUGUGAAUUACUAGUGUUUCUAACAUGAUUUUUUCCCUUUUUUGUGUUUUUUUUGUUAUUUUUUUAAAUUGUCUCUGUCGAUUUGAUUUUUUUUAAUAUUGAGCUGAUUAAGAAUUAUCUUCGUUGAUUUUUUUUUAAUAGAGUUGUUUAGAAUUUAACUUUGUAAUAAAGCUUAAUCAUGUGGAAAAGCAGUAUAGUUUUCCUCACAAAACAUUAUUGAGAAUUACAAUUACAAGUCAUUACAAAUAAGGCUAAAUCAUGUGGGGAAGCACUGUAGCUUUCAUCAAAAAACACUGUGAAUUACUAGUGUUUCUAACAUGAUUUUUUUCCCUUUUUUGUGUUUUUUUUGUUAUUUUUUUAAAUUGUCUCUGUCGAUUUGAUUUUUUUUAAAUUGUUGCAGUGUUUUCCCAUAUGAUUUUUUUUUAAAAUUAUCUUUGUCGAUUUUUUUUUGAAUAUUAAGUUGGUUGAAAAUUAUAAUUACAAUAAAUUUAAAUCAUAUUAGAAAAGCGUUGUAGUUUUUUUCACACAACACUAUAGUUUUUCUCACAAAACAUUGUCAAUUACUGCAACAUUUUUUCUCAUGGGUUUUUUUUCCUUCCAAGAUUAUCUUUGGUGGUUUUUUUUUAAUAUUAAGUUGGUAGAGAAUUUAGCUUUGUAAUUUGUUUUUGUUUUUUAUUAACAGAAAAGCUAAAUUAUGUGGUGAAAGCAUUGUAUCUUUCCUCUCAAAUUACUGUGGAUUACUACAAAUCAUUUUGUUCAGUCUCUAAGUUUUUUAUUACCAACACAACUUUUUUUUUCGUCAUGAAAUAUUGGCUCCAUCAUACCUUUAGUUUUUAUUACUUAUCUAGUGCUAAUUUACAAUUAUAACGCUAUCAAAUAUAUUUGUUUUAUAAAUUCAUGACAGCGUGCGGGCAUGCAUCUCGUUAAUAUUUAUAAUAUGGAGUUAUAAAACCAAGUUCACGUGUUGCAUGGAAUGGAUGUUCCGACAAGGAUCAAAAUUAAUAAUUCAUACAUUUAUUGAGAAAAAAAUAUUAAAAAAUAGAGUUUUGUUUAAUAAAGCAAACUUCCUUAAUUAAUCAUCGUAUCAACCUCUUAAAAUUACCCUUUAUAAAAUACUAGUAAUUUUUCACUCAAUAUAUCCCAGCAAGUUAAUAUCAAAAUGAUCCAUUCAUUUAUUAAAAAAAAACAGACACAUAAAAAAAUACUAAGAGUUUGUUCAUGUUUGUGAUUAAAAAAUAUUUUUAAAAAUAUUUGAUUUUUUUAUGUUUUAAAUUAUUUUUUUUGUUUUUGAGUUAUUUUGAUUUAUUAUAAAAAAAAAAAUUUAAUAAAUAAAUAAACUUAAUAAUUUUUUAAAAAAUAUAUUUUAAAAAAUAAUCAUUAUCAAACCAAUAAACCAUUCAAGCAUUAUCAUAGCUAUUUCUUAUACAUCAAAAAGAGAAAUACAACGAAAAAGAAAAGAAUUAAAAGAUGAUCAAACAUCGUUGAAUUGAAGUGUCUGAUGCUGAGAUCUACUACAUCGGGUCUUCUGAUCUUGUGCCGAAACCACAAGAACUACUUUUCUUCUUUCUAUUAUAGAGUCUAGUAUUUAAUGAACAUGUCACACCAUUUGAUUUUACAGUACGACUAUAUUUUUUAAAAUUUUGAAUUUUAAUAUACUAACAUAAAAAGAAAUAUCAUAGAUGUUGAAAAAA
rnacentral:lncRNA from 1 species